AUGCAGUCGAGCGAAAGACGAGGAGCUUGCUCCUCUGACGUUAGCGGCGGACGGGUGAGUAACACGUGGAUAACCUACCUAUAAGACUGGGAUAACUUCGGGAAACCGGAGCUAAUACCGGAUAAUAUAUUGAACCGCAUGGUUCAAUAGUGAAAGACGGUUUUGCUGUCACUUAUAGAUGGAUCCGCGCCGCAUUAGCUAGUUGGUAAGGUAACGGCUUACCAAGGCAACGAUGCGUAGCCGACCUGAGAGGGUGAUCGGCCACACUGGAACUGAGACACGGUCCAGACUCCUACGGGAGGCAGCAGUAGGGAAUCUUCCGCAAUGGGCGAAAGCCUGACGGAGCAACGCCGCGUGAGUGAUGAAGGUCUUCGGAUCGUAAAACUCUGUUAUUAGGGAAGAACAAAUGUGUAAGUAACUAUGCACGUCUUGACGGUACCUAAUCAGAAAGCCACGGCUAACUACGUGCCAGCAGCCGCGGUAAUACGUAGGUGGCAAGCGUUAUCCGGAAUUAUUGGGCGUAAAGCGCGCGUAGGCGGUUUUUUAAGUCUGAUGUGAAAGCCCACGGCUCAACCGUGGAGGGUCAUUGGAAACUGGAAAACUUGAGUGCAGAAGAGGAAAGUGGAAUUCCAUGUGUAGCGGUGAAAUGCGCAGAGAUAUGGAGGAACACCAGUGGCGAAGGCGACUUUCUGGUCUGUAACUGANUCUGAUGUUCGAAAGCAUGUGGAUC
rnacentral:rRNA from 1 species